rnacentral:rRNA from 1 species
UACGAAGGGGGCUAGCGUUGCUCGGAAUGACUGGGCGUAAAGGGCGCGUAGGCGGCUUGCACAGUCAGGCGUGAAAUUCCUGGGCUCAACCUGGGGACUGCGCUUGAGACGUGUGGGCUUGAGUGGGGAAGAGGGUCGUGGAAUUCCCAGUGUAGAGGUGAAAUUCGUAGAUAUUGGGAAGAACACCGGUGGCGAAGGCGGCGACCUGGUCCUUGACUGACGCUGAGGCGCGAAAGCGCGGGGAUCAAACAGG